UACAGAGGGUGCAAGCGUUGCUCGGAAUUAUUGGGCGUAAAGGGUAGGUAGGUGGUCUCAUUUGUCCGGGGUGAAAGCCUUGAGCUUAACUCAAGAAGUGCCCCGGAAACGGUGAGACUGGAGUCUUGGAGAGGGUCGUGGAAUUCCCGGUGUAGCGGUGAAAUGCGCAGAUAUCAGGAGGAACACCAAUGGCGAAGGCAGCUCGCUGGAACGGUACUGACGCUGAGACGCGAAAGCGUGGGGAGCGAACAGG
rnacentral:rRNA from 1 species